rnacentral:rRNA from 1 species
CGCGGCCUAUCAGCUUGUUGGAGAGGUAACGGCUCACCAAGGCAUCGACGGGUAGCUGGUCUGAGAGGAUGAUCAGCCACACUGGAACUGAGACACGGUCCAGACUCCUACGGGAGGCAGCAGUGGGGAAUCUUGCACAAUGGGCGAAAGCCUGAUGCAGCGAUGCCGCGUGCGGGAAGAAGGCCUUAGGGUUGUAAACCGCUUUCAGGAGGGAAGAAAAUGACGGUACCUCCAGAAGAAGGUGCAGCCAACUACGUGCCAGCAGCCGCGGUAACACGUAAGGUGCAAGCGUUGUCCGGAUUUAUUGGGCGUAAAGAGCUCGUAGGUGGUUCCGUAAGUCGGAUGUGAAAACUCAAGGCUCAACCUUGAGACGCCAUCCGUUACUGCUAUGACUAGAGUACGGUAGGGGAGCGGGGAAUUCCUGGUGUAGCGGUGAAAUGCGCAGAUAUCAGGAGGAACACCAGCGGCGAAGGCGCCGCUCUGGGCCGUAACUGACGCUGAGGAGCGGAAGCAUGGGUUGCAAACAGGAUUAGAUACCCUGGUAGUCCAUGCCGUAAACGUUGGGCACUAGGUGUGGGUCUCAACCAACGAGAUCCGCGCCGUCGCCAAUGCAUUAAGUGCCCCGCCUGGGGAGUACGG